UACAGAGGUCUCAAGCGUUGUUCGGAUUCAUUGGGCGUAAAGGGCGCGUAGGCUGCGGGGCAAGUCGGGUGUGAAAUCUCCAGAGCUCAACUCUGAAACUGCACUCGAUACUGCUUUGCUUGAGGACUGGAGAGGAGAUUGGAAUUCACGGUGUAGCAGUGAAAUGCGUAGAUAUCGUGAGGAAGACCAGUGGCGAAGGCGGAUCUCUGGACAGUUCCUGACGCUGAGGCGCGAAGGCCAGGGGAGCAAACGGG
rnacentral:rRNA from 1 species